AGUCGAGGGGCAGCACAGGUAGCAAUACCGGGUGGCGACCGGCGCACGGGUGAGUAACGCGUAUGCAACUUGCCUAUCAGAGGGGGAUAACCCGGCGAAAGUCGGACUAAUACCGCAUGAAGCAGGGAUCCCGCAUGGGAAUAUUUGCUAAAGAUUCAUCGCUGAUAGAUAGGCAUGCGUUCCAUUAGGCAGUUGGCGGGGUAACGGCCCACCAAACCGACGAUGGAUAGGGGUUCUGAGAGGAAGGUCCCCCACAUUGGUACUGAGACACGGACCAAACUCCUACGGGAGGCAGCAGUGAGGAAUAUUGGUCAAUGGCCGAGAGGCUGAACCAGCCAAGUCGCGUGAGGGAUGAAGGUUCUAUGGAUCGUAAACCUCUUUUAUAAGGGAAUAAAGUGCGGGACGUGUCCCGUUUUGUAUGUACCUUAUGAAUAAGGAUCGGCUAACUCCGUGCCAGCAGCCGCGGUAAUACGGAGGAUCCGAGCGUUAUCCGGAUUUAUUGGGCUUAAAGGGUGCGUAGGCGGCCUUUUAAGUCAGCGGUGAAAGUCUGUGGCUCAACCAUAGAAUUGCCGUUGAAACUGGGGGGCUUGAGUAUGUUUGAGGCAGGCGGAAUGCGUGG
rnacentral:rRNA from 1 species